rnacentral:rRNA from 1 species
UACGGAGGGAGCGAACGUUGUUCGGAUUUACUGGGCGUAAAGGGUGUGUAGGCGGUCUUGCAAGUCAGGGGUGAAAUCCCUCGGCUCAACCGAGGAACUGCCUUUGAGACUGCAGAGCUUGAGUAUCGGAGAGGUUGGUGGAAUUCUCGGUGUAGAGGUGAAAUUCGUAGAUAUCGAGAGGAACACCGGUGGCGAAGGCGGCCAACUGGACGAAUACUGACGCUGAGACACGAAAGCGUGGGGAGCAAACAGG